GACGAACCGAGCGAACGUUGUUCGGAAUCAUUGGGCGUAAAGGGUGCGUAGGCGGCGCGGUAAGUCGGGUGUGAAAUCUCGGAGCUUAACUCCGAAACUGCAUUCGAUACUGCCGUGCUUGAGGACUGGAGAGGAGACUGGAAUUUACGGUGUAGCGGUGAAAUGCGUAGAUAUCGUAAGGAAGACCAGUGGCGAAGGCGGGUCUCUGGACAGUUCCUGACGCUGAGGCACGAAGGUCAGGGGAGCAAACGGG
rnacentral:rRNA from 1 species